CAGCCGCCGCGGUAAUACGUAGGUGGCGAGCGUUGUCCGGAAUUAUUGGGCGUAAAGGGAGCGCAGGCGGGCGAGUAAGUCUUUCUUAAAAGUGCGGGGCUCAACCCCGUGAGGGGAGAGAAACUACUCAUCUUGAGUGCAGGAGAGGAAAGCGGAAUUCCUAGUGUAGCGGUGAAAUGCGUAGAUAUUAGGAAGAACACCAGUGGCGAAGGCGGCUUUCUGGACUGUAACUGACGCUGAGGCUCGAAAGCCAGGGGAGCGAACGGGAUUAGAUACCCGAGUAGUCCCUGUCUCUUAUACA
rnacentral:rRNA from 1 species